AAUCAAUUUAAAAUGGAUCAGAGACCUAAAUUCAAGACCUGUAAUUUUGAGACUAAAAGAAAAUGUUGAAGUGGGCUGAGGAUUUAGCUCAGUGGCACCGUGCCUGCCUCGCAAGUGCAAGGUCCUGGGUUCGAUCCCCAGUACCAGAAAAAAAAAAAAAAAAAGAAAAGAAAAUGUAGAGGAAAUACUUGAAGCUAUCAUAGGCAUGGCAAAAGCUUCCCGAAGAGGACUCCACCAGCACAAGAAACAGUGGCAAGAAUCAAAAUAGGGGACCACAUCAAAUUAGAAAGUUUCUGCACAGUAAGGAAAACAACAGAAUGGAAAGACAGCCUACAGAAUAGGAAAAAAAUCUCUACCACCUAUUCUUCUGACAGAGGAUCAAUAUCUAGAAUAUAUAAAGAGCUAAAAAAACCCCACCAAAACAUCAAGUAGGCCAAUCAAUAAAUGGGCAAAUGAAUUGAACAUUUCUCAAAAGAAGUAGAAAUGCAGUAAGUAUGUGAAAAAAUCUUUGGCCAUUAAGGAAAUAUGAAUCAAAACUACCUUGAGAUUCUAUCUCACCCCUGUCAGAAUGAUCAUCAUCAAAAAUACAACAAAUAAUAAAUGCUGGUGAGAAUGUGGAGAAAAAAGAACCCUUCUACACUGCUGAUGGGAAUGUAAAUUAGUACAGUCACUAUGGAGAUCAGUAAAAAUAGAGCUACCAUUUGAUUUGGCUAUAACACUCCUUGGAAUAUACUCAAAGCAAUUAAAGUCAACAUACUAUAUAGCCAACAUAUGGAACCAACCUAGGUGCCUAUCAACAGACACAUGGAUACCAGAAUAUAUGGUACGUAUACACAAUGGAGUAUUGUUCAACCACAAAGAAGAAGGACAUUCUGUCAUCUGUAGGAAAAUGGAUGGAUCUGGAGAUCAUGAUGUUGAGCAAAAUAAGCCAGAUUCAGAAAGACAAAUAUUUCAUGUUUUCUCUAAUAAUGUGGAAUCUAAAAAAGAUGACAAGAAAAUAGAAGGAAGACUAUCAUUAGACAAUAGGAAGUCCCCCCAGGCGGGAGAGGAGAGUGUAAGGGCAGGUAAUGGGGGGAUAAAUAUGAUCAAAGCAUGCAGAGUGUGCCCAAAAUGGGUACACAUGUUAGUAAGAGGAAAAUAGCAUGGGCCCAUUCAGUCCCUGGUACAAGAGAAAGAGCAAGCAAGCAAGCAGGCAGGCAAGCAGGCAAGCAAGCAAGCAGGCAAGCAAGCAAGCAAGCAGGCAAGCAGGCAAGCAAGCAAGCAGGCAGGCAAGCAAGCAAGCAAGCAGGCAGGCAAGCAAGCAAGCAGGCAGGCAAGCAAGCAAGCAAGCAAGCAGGCAAGCAAGCAAGCAAGCAAGCAGGCAAGCAAGCAAGCAAGCAAGCAGGCAAGCAAGCAAGCAGGCAAGCAAGCAG
rnacentral:lncRNA from 1 species